rnacentral:lncRNA from 1 species
CAAUUCACCUGUCUCAGCCUCCUGAGUAGCUGGGACUACAGAUAUUAAUCAUCUUUAGGAUUAGAACCUAAAGCGUAAGUCUAAUUGUGCCCAGAAUUGCUUCCUUCCAGUGGGUUCCUGGUCUCGUUGACUUCAAGAAUGAAGCUGCAGACCCUCACAAUAUUACUCUAGGAAAAUUUACAACCUGAAGCAAGGAGAAAUAAGAUUUCUCUUCUAAAUGCUGAAUUUGAAAGGCUUCAUUGGUAUUGCAUUGGAUCCAUAAAUUAGUUGGAAAAAACUGCCACCUUUAACAGUUCUGAGCCUUCCAAUCCAUGAGCAUGUUGCAGAGGAUGAGAAGUUCAAAAUCAAGGCACUG